CUUGGCACACACCCACCCACAACCCACACAGCCCCGGGCCCCACCCACGAUGCACACACACCCACGCCCAACCCACGCACACACACCCACGUUGGAUCCCAUCUCUCUUGUCUUCCUCGAUCCCCUUUCUCCACCCCACGCCGCCGCCAGAUUCCGGCAAUCCCCGUGGUUCCCCACCACCUAGCUCUCCUCCUCGAGGUCACCUCUCCCCGCUCACCAUCUCCACUGACCGGUUUCUCUCCUCGCCCAGGAGAGCCAUGCCCAGGCACUGGUGGUGGUGCGCUGCGAGGAGGUCCCAGCGGCGUCGAGCUGCUAUUGCUGCAGGCACAGCGACGUCGGCGUGGUCAGGAUGGUUGCAGCCCUUCAAGAUUCUCAAUGGCGGCGUCUCAGCGCUGAUGGCGGAGUCGACGGUGAGCAUCGGCGGGUACAUGGCGUCGGGGUACCGGAGGGUGGCUGGCGUGCAGCUCUACAUCAACCACCUCAAGCCCGCCCGCCUCGGUGACCGCAUCGAGGCCAAGGUGAACCCCAUCCGGUACCUCGACCCUGACACGUACUUGGACAAGGACCAGCUGCUGGACGCGGUGCAUUGGAUCCGACAGGCGGUGGGGCUCGCCUGUGGCCUGCUCUAGGGCGCCGUCCCCCUCGUCGGUGCCUUCUAGAUCCUCCCGUCAGUCCCUCCCUCCCUUCAUCCUCAAAGCCCCAACCUUCUUCUUUCCCUUCAGACAUAGGCAUAGAUUCAGGUUCAUUGUUAACUGAAUUCGUAAGCUCAUCUCACACUGAAUUUGGGACCUCUUUCCCAUCGUGUAGUAUAGUACUAGCAAGUCGGUCACACAUGAAUUAGUAGAUGAGUCUAGCGAUUCUGUUAACUGAAUUAUUUUAGAAACCCGCUUUGUUUUGCCUUUCAUUGAUCACCGCGACAGGUCAGAGGAGGUGAAGUGAGUGUUAGAUUCGCUGCGAAUUGGAGGUUCGUUAGCCUCGUCUCUGAGCACUCGUCACCAGCUCAGCAACAAGCAUCGCAGUGGUUAUGCGCUUUCUCUGGUAUUAGAUGUGAUAUGAGCUGUUCAAUCAGCUCUUUGUUUGGCGUGGCCGUCAGCAAACCAGCAAACCAACGCAAUUGCCGCAUAUAUGUAGUGGGAUAUGAACUGCUCUUAGUUUCUCUGUGCUCACUAUUAGUUCAAUAAAUUGACAAAUGGCUGCUGAUGUAUGAUUGACUGGCUUUGUUCAUCUUGCUAGAGUUACUUGGAAAUAUUGACAUUCUCAAACCAAAUAUGAGGUGCCCUUUAUUCACUCCAUGGGAGUAUAUGUAAGUUGACUGCUUCAAACCCAAUCCUUGCUUGCUGUUUAGUGAAUAAAUAUGCUCGUAGAAAAUUGCAAACUUCGUAAUAUGAAUAAAUAUUUGAUGGUAAGUAGCGAUGAAGAUUAAAAUUGUAUUCGCCCACAAAAAAGAAGAUUAACAUUUUAUUACAUACACUAAUCUAUCUAGCACCAAUGUCACGCAGUCAAUUUCCUUUAUCCUUAGCAUUUUUAUGACAUACCUUCUUCUAUUUAGAAUCUUUGGUUGCAAUCAGUUCUUUUUUCCGCAAAAAAUGAAAUUAGUUUCUUUUACUUUUAGCAUAUGUACUUAACAACUGAGGUGCCAGUGAAAAAGUAAAUUUAUUUUUAUUUAGUAUUUGGUGGAUCCACUGUUUUUAUAGGUUUCGACAUUGCUGCCUCCAUAUAGCCUUUUGCUGAUAUGUGUUGAUGGUUUGAUGUGUCGCUCCUAGUCCAAAUGUUAUUUUUUUAUUGGACCUUCCUUUUUGACCGGAUAUUUUUUAUAUACGUGACUGAUCCGUAAUCCAGCUGAACUUUCUUUUCAUGUACAUGACGGAGUUUGCAUCCAUAUAUUAUUGUACGUGUCGGAUGAUAGACUUGUACAUUUAAUUAUGGUGCAUGUCUUCGAAUAUACUCCCGUUAUGCAUGUUUUUAGACUUAUUUUAAUAUUAUUGCUGUUAUUACGUGCGUAGUGUCGUGGAGAUGAAAUAGCAUGCUUGUGUACUAAUUGACUAUAUGCUAGCCUGGCUUGCCAUUGGAAGGUGGCGUAUGGACUAAGACUCCUUUUUCUUAAGCUGGCCAUGUGAUUCCUUUUGCCUAUAAGCUGGCCAUGCCUUUGGCCGUGUGGACUCUGUAUGCCUUUACGCCGCCAUCAAGUAGAGAUGGAGUAGGAGGACGAGCAGCGACAGCAAAUCAGUCUGAUGAUGACAGGGUGCGGGAGGCAAUGGUGAUCAUGCUGAUGGCAUGAAGAAGGCUGAUGACCACAACCUGGACCUGUUGGCAUUUCGAGAUGGCAAACAUAGGCGGCGUGGAGACAACAACCUGGACCACCCACCUCCCUUGCCUUCUUAAUUUUGGUUGUGGUGGUUGCAUCACCGGCGCGGUCGCAAAUCAGUAUGUAGUGUGCUUGUGGUGUUGGGUCUGGACUGCAGUGUCCAUCCAGUAGGUUAGGUGCUGUUGCUGCUAGAUCCCAUGAUGCUCACCUAAGUUUUGUGUUAUGUGGAGGCCAACCUUUGUGAUCUUAUUCGUCGACACUUGUGUGAUCUCAUCUUACUUUGUGAUACAAGUCGUAUGAUAUAUAUGUUUUUAUGGAUGAUCU